UACAGAGGGUGCGAGCGUUGUCCGGAAUCACUGGGCGUAAAGGGCGCGUAGGCGGCUUGAUAAGCGUGCGGUGAAAGCCCGGGGCUCAACCCCGGGUCGGCCGUGCGAACUGUCGAGCUGGAGCACUGUAGAGGCAGGUGGAAUUCCGGGUGUAGCGGUGGAAUGCGUAGAGAUCCGGAAGAACACCGGUGGCGAAGGCGGCCUGCUGGGCAGUGGCUGACGCUGAGGCGCGGCAGCGUGGGGAGCAAACAGG
rnacentral:rRNA from 1 species